rnacentral:rRNA from 1 species
CACGGGGGGAGCAAGCGUUGUUCGGAAUCACUGGGCGUAAAGGGCGUGUAGGCGGUCAGGUAAGCGGGACGUGAAAUGCCUCGGCUCACCCGAGGAGCGGCGUCCCAUACUGCUUGGCUUGAGUACGGGAGAGGUGAGUGGAACUGCGAGUGUAGAGGUGAAAUUCGUAGAUAUUCGCAAGAACACCAGUGGCGAAGGCGGCUCACUGGCCCGGUACUGACGCUGAGGUGCGAAAGCGUGGGGAGCAAACAGG